rnacentral:rRNA from 1 species
UGGUGCCUUCGGGAACUGUGAGACAGGUGCUGCAUGGCUGUCGUCAGCUCGUGUUGUGAAAUGUUGGGUUAAGUCCCGCAACGAGCGCAACCCUUAUCCUUUGUUGCCAGCGGUCCGGCCGGGAACUCAAAGGAGACUGCCAGUGAUAAACUGGAGGAAGGUGGGGAUGACGUCAAGUCAUCAUGGCCCUUACGACCAGGGCUACACACGUGCUACAAUGGCGCAUACAAAGAGAAGCAAUCUCGCGAGAGCUAGCGGACCUCAUAAAGUGCGUCGUAGUCCGGAUUGGAGUCUGCAACUCGACUCCAUGAAGUCGGAAUCGCUAGUAAUCGUGAAUCAGAAUGUCACGGUGAAUACGUUCCCGGGCCUUGUACACACCGCCCGUCACACCAUGGGAGUGGGUUG